GGGGAUGUAGCUCAGUGGUGGAGCACUUGCCUGGGAAGUACAAGGCCCUGGAUUCCAUCCCUA
rfam:Heterocephalus glaber contig139735, whole genome shotgun sequence.